rnacentral:rRNA from 1 species
GGAGUUAAGAAAUGUAGGUGCGAUAAUACCGUGCCUAUUUGACAAAGGCUCCAAAGGAAGCCACGGCUAACUCUGUGCCAGCAGCCGCGGUAAUACAGAGGUGGCAAGCGUUGUUCGGAAUUAUUGGGCGUAAAGAGCACGUAGGUGGAUUUGUUAGUCAGAUGUGAAAGCCUUUUGUUCAACGGAAGAAUUGCAUCUGAAACUACAAACCUUGAGUAUAGGAGGGGAGAGUGGAACUUCUGGU